CGCACACAAAGGGAAGCGGAGCCGUGAGGCCGGGCAAAUCCCAAAAAAGGCGUCCCAGUUCGGACUGCAGUCUGCAACCCGACUGCACGAAGCCGGAAUCGCUAGUAAUCGCGGAUCAGAAUGCCGCGGUGAAUACGUUCCCGGGUCUUGUACACACCGCCCGUCACACCAUGGGAGCUGGAAAUGCCCGAAGUCGGUGACCCAACCUUCGGGAGGGAGCCGCCGAAGGCAGGUCCGGUAACUGGGGUGAAGUCGUAACAAGGUAGC
rnacentral:rRNA from 1 species